rnacentral:rRNA from 1 species
UACGGGGGGGGCAAGCGUUGUUCGGAAUUACUGGGCGUAAAGGGCUCGUAGGCGGCCAACUAAGUCGGACGUGAAAUCCCCAGGCUCAACCUGGGAACUGCGUCCGAUACUGGAUGGCUUGAAUCCGGGAGAGGGAUGCAGAAUUCCAGGUGUAGCGGUGAAAUGCGUAGAUAUCGAGAGGAACACCUGCGGCGAAGGCGGGUUGCUGGGCUGACACUGACGCUGAUGCGCGAAAGCCAGGGGAGCGAACGGG